AUGCAUCUCUGAUAGACCUGGAGCAGUUAAUGUCUGAUUCUAAGGUUUCCACUAAAGAUGCAAGAAAAAGAAGGUCCUCUCGUUGCCUGGUUAUGUCAGCCAAGAUUGAACGGGGGCAACACAG
rnacentral:snoRNA from 1 species